rnacentral:lncRNA from 1 species
UUUUUUUUUUUUUUUUUUAAUUUUGGUACCUAUAGCUUUAUUGGUCUUAUAAAAUGUAUCUGCAGAAAUUAGAAUAAACUGGAGUUCCCAUCGUGGCGCAGCGGAAACGAAUCCAACUAGGAAUCAUGAGGUUGCGGGUUUGAUCCCUGGCCUCACUCAGUGGGUUAAGGAUCUGGCAUCGCUCUGAGCUGUGGUGUAGGUCACAGUUAAGGCUCAGAUCCCACGUUGCUGUGGCUCUGGCGUAGGCUGGUGGCUACAGCUCCAAUUCGACCCCUAGCCUGGGAACCUCCAUAUGCCAUGGGAGCAGCCUAAGAAAUGGCCAAAAGACAAAAAACAAACAGAUGCUACAGUGAACAGUGAUGAUAAAACAGAAGAGGAAAAUAAAGUCAUCUCAAGACUAGGAAUUAAAAAAGUAAUGAUAGGAGCCAAAAAGGGAAGGGCAAAGUCAAAUUUGAUUAUAGUCUAAAACAUUCUAGAAAUGAGAAACUGAGAGAAGAGCAUUCAGCAAAUCAAUGAAGAAAAAUGUUCAAAAACCUGGGUAGUGUUAAUGUAGUGUAUUCCUUAUUUUCAUAAGGAAACCAAUUGAAGUAAUACAGUUUGAAAGUUCUCACACCAUUUUACAUGAAAUGGUCUAUAAUGUGAACAUACCCAAACACAUAACUUGUAUUUGUGAAAAUACAACAGACUGAGAUAUAUGAAGCAAUUAAGUCCUACACCAUGUGUCAUUAUUUCAGUAGGCAAUUUGGUUAUAUAUCUGACUCUCAGUCAUAAUUUUUUUCUUGAUAGUCCAAGUUGAGGCUUAACUAUGUCAAAUAAAUUACUCAAUGCUACAGAACUACAUUGUGUUAUUUAAAGAAUCUUUGUAUAUAUAAACUUGACUAUAUUUGCGGUAAAAGAAAGUUUUGCCUUGUAAUGUUCCUUAGAUCAUUUCUCACUGUUUGUGGCAUACACAGACUGAAGUAUCUGGCUGAAAGGAACACAAAAUAUUCACCAUGUAAAAUUCAGUGGUCGUAGGGGCUUCUGAGCUAUUGAAGUUCAUGAAAUCUGGUUGCUUUGGAAUGAGAGCCCCUUAAAGUUCUUAGACUUUCUCAGACACAAUCACCAAUUUUCCUUUUAUUAAACUCUAUAUCCCUAGCACAUUUCACAGCUCUUGGUUUAUUUGACAACCCACCAAGAUUAACUUGAGUAAGUGUCUAAAGGCUCCCAGGGUUUGAAGCUACUAUUUUUCACUGUUUUCUUUUUCCUUCCAAUUGCAUAACUUGUGUCAGUUGCCUCUCAUCUGUGAGCAAACUAGUUUGGUAGCUCUAUGAAAUACCUAUUGUAAAAAGUGACUGAACUUUAAUUAGAAAAAGCUGAGAAAGAAAACACAUGUAACACCAAUAUAACAGAUGUCCAAUCCACAUAAAUGACUCUUCCCAUUGUCCUUUGUUUUAGUUUUAUUCAUUUACUCUACUUGUAUUCCACUUACUGUUCCUGGCUACUAAAAAAUUGUCAAUUUUGUUCUUCUUGCCAUGUUGCAAACAGGGAAACCAAAGUUCAGCAAACUAGUGAACUUUCCCAUUAGCUAAUGAGUACCAGAUGAGUACUGAGAGAUGCUUUAGGGUGGUGCUAGCCUGACUUUGCUUAAGAUUCAGACUUCCUGCUGGACAAGCAAAGUGAUGCCACAUUUUGAAGAGGGGAAAGGUUGGAUAGAAUCAAUAGGAAAUACAUUUGUUGAUUGAUUUUUUUCACUUCAUAGUUAAUCUUUUUAACUAAAAGCAGGUACUAUUCCUGGUUUUCUAUCAUUUUAAACACUGAAAUCUUGGGCUAAAAUAACUUACCUUGUUAUACUUUUUCUUGUUUAAGAAGUCUGUAUUGUACAGCAAAGAGACCCAGUCACACAUGUAUAUAUACAUUCUUUUUUUCACAUUAUCCUCCAUCAUGCACCAUCAUAAGUGACAAGAUAGUUUCCAGUGCUAUACAGCAGGAUCUCAUUGCUUACCCAUUCCAAAGGCAAUAGUUUGCAAUUAUUAACCCCAGAUUUCCAACCCAUUCCACUCCCUCUAGAAACCUAACAGAAUACUGUAAACCAACUGUAAUGGAAAAAAUAAAAAUCAUUAAAAAUACAAAAAAAUAAAGAGUUCUAGAUGGAAGGUUAGAAAAAAAGCCUGUAUUAUUAUAUAUUUUUCAUGGAUGAAAAUAUAUUUUUCCUCUUCCUGAACUCUUAAAAAAUAGGCACAUUUGUUUUAGCAAAAAAUAGUCAAACUGCUAGAAAGAUGACACUAUCCCUGUUACUUUGGUCAAGAAUGGCUACAUGAUUUAUUUCCAAACUUAGGUUCAUUUACAAGUUUAUUUCAUCCUUCAAACUUUAUGAACACAACUGUCAUAUCAACAACAAAUGCAGCUGUCUCACUGUUAGCAUAUUGUAAGGGAAGACAUUUUUUUACAGAAAACAGUCUUGACUGAAUAUCAGGUAAAAUUUGACUAUUUUGGGGGUUGAUGAACAUUAUCUAAGUGGCGGAAGAGAAGAAAUGGGCUAUCCAUUAUUCCACUAUCCCAACAUGACUCUUGCGUAUUUUCAGGUGUUUUUCUGUUUAUGGAGCUGAAGUUAAUGACUAAAUAUUUUAUACUGAAUUUUUAAUUAUAUAAAAUAUACUUUGUCUAAUUAUUAAAAGAAAAUCUCAAAAGUAACAUUGGAGUAAAGGAAAAGAUAUUUUUCACAAGCUUAAAUUUUAUUACUUAACUAACUUUAAAAUUUAGUGGUAUUAGAAGUCCAUGUUUUCUAGUAAUAUUUUUGUCAAUCGUAUAUUAAAAUAUAAUAAUUGGGUCAUUUUCUGGAAACAAACAAAAUGAAAUUUUAGUGACUCUUAAGUUUUCCAUCCCUACUGGAAAUGGAUGCAAAUGAAAUAGAAAAGUGCUUUUAGUUGCAUAUAUUCACUUAGACCAAAGAUAGAUACAUAAACACAUUUGGUAGUAUAACAAAAGGCUGUGAGUUAUUUUUCCGAGCUGUAGAAGAUGGACAAACUGUAUAAACAAAUUAAGCUUCAGUGUUUACUGAUAUAUUAAAAAAAAAAAAAAUGGGGACUUUCUUACUGUGGCUCAGUGGUAAGUAACCUAAGAGCUAUGAGGGUGCGGGUUCAAUCCCUGGCCUCACUCAGUGAAUUAAGGAUCUGGUGUUGUUGUGAACUGUGAUAUAGGUGGCUUACGUGUCUUUGUUCUUGUGUUGCUAUGGUGUAGGUGGCAGCUGUAGCUCUGAUUUGACCCUUAGCCUAGAACUUCCAUAUUCUGCGAGUACGAGCCUAAAAAAUAAAAAAAAAAAAAAAAAAAA